rnacentral:rRNA from 1 species
UACGUAGGGCGCAAGCGUUGUCCGGAAUUAUUGGGCGUAAAGAGCUCGUAGGCGGUUUGUCACGUCGGAUGUGAAAGCCCGGGGCUUAACCCCGGGUCUGCAUUCGAUACGGGCAGACUAGAGUGUGGUAGGGGAGAUCGGAAUUCCUGGUGUAGCGGUGAAAUGCGCAGAUAUCAGGAGGAACACCGGUGGCGAAGGCGGCGAUCUGGGUCGAUACUGACGCUGAGGUGCGAAAGCGUGGGGAGCAAACAGG